AAACGACCGCGGGGGGGGGCGGGAAGAAGGUGACCUUUGCGUAGAGCAAUCCGAUUGGCUCACGUGACCGGCGCCAUUUUGUUGGGGGCAAGGGAACUUCCGGUCGGUGCAGCCCUGGCUUCCUCCGAUCUGAGUUUUUGACCUUCUCUGAAGAGCUUUUACAUUUCUGGCAAGGCAGGUCUACUGGCAACAAAUUCCAUCAACUUUUGCUUGUCUAAGAAAGUCUACUGCUCCUUCACUUUUGAAGAAUAAUUUCCAGGGACACAGAAUUAUAGGUUGGUGGUUCUUCUCUCUCAACUUUCUUCUUGCUUGCAUGGUUUCUGAAGAGAGGUCUGAUAUAUUUCUUAUCCUUGCUCUUCUAGAGGUAAGUUAUUUUUCCCUUUUGGCUUCUUUCAAAAAAUUUUUUUUGUUUUUCAUUUUCUGCUUUUUGCCCAUGAUAUGCUUAGGUGAAGACUUUUUUGGCAUUUAUCCUGUGUGGUGUUCUCUGAGUUUCCCAGAUCUGUGGUUUGUACCUGUCAUUAAUUUUUGAAAAUUCUCUGCCAUUAUUACUUCAGACAUUCCUCUGUCCCCUUCUCUCCUUCUGGUAUUCUCACUGCACACUUUCUGUAACUGCCUCACAGUUCUUGGAUAUUCUGUUCUUCUUCGUUCUUUUUUUAAAAUUGAUUUUCAGUUUUGGAAGUUUCUCAUGACAUUUCUUCAAGCUCACUGAUUCUUUUCUCAGCCAUGGUCAGUCUACUCAUGAUCUCAUCAUAGGCAUUCUUUUUUUUUUUGUGGUACGCGGGCCUCUCACGGCUGUGGCCUCUCCCGUUGCAGAGCACAGGCUCCGGACGCGCAGGUUCAGCGGCCACGGCUCACGGUCCCAGCCGCUCCGCGGCAUGUGGGAUCUUCCCGGACCGGGGCACGAACCCGUGUCCCCUGCAUCGGCAGGCGGACUCUCAACCACUGCGCCACCAGGGAAGCCCCAUAGGCAUUCUUUAUUUCUGUUACAGGCUUUUUGAUUUCUAGUAUUCCCUUUUGACUUUUUCUUAGCGUUUCCAUCUCUCUGCUUACAUUACCUCUCUGUUCCUGCAUAUUGUCACUUUUUCCAUUAGAGCUCUUAGGAUGUUAAUCACAGUUGUUUCAAAUUCCCAGUCUCAUAUCCAUUAUGUGUGAGUCUGGUUAUGAUGCUUUGUUUAUCUUUAAAAACUGUUUUUUGGUCCUUUAGUAUGCCUUAUAAUUUUUUGUUGAAAACUGAACAUGAUGUACUAGGGAAAAGGAACUGAGGUACACAGGCCUUUGGUGGGGUUUGUUUAUCUGGCCAGGAGCUGGACUGUGAGCAGCGCUUGCUGCAGCUGUGUCAUAUGCUGGAAUCUCCUCUGGUGUCCUUGUCUUUGUCUCCACUGUUGUCUUUGGGUUUCCCGGUAGACUUCUUCUUAGAGAAAGUCUAAGAUGUGCAGUUGUUUGUUUCCGUUGUAAUCCCUUGUUAUUAUACAGAAGCCCUGUUGACGAGGUGGUGAGGGGUAGCGGGGAGGGGAAGCAUUCUAUAGGUCUAUGGUUAGUCUUUUCGUGAGCUUGUGCCUCUGGCCUGUGACCUUAACAGGUUUUUUCCCUCCUCUUUAGGUGCCAAGAAGAAGGGGGCAGAAGUUGGGUAUAUCUGUUCCCCCAGGUCCUGGCUCCUACUGUGGUUUCUGCUCCCGAGGCCCUGGUCUGCUCAUCAGCGACUCUCUGUAUCUCCCUGUCUGUCUCUCCAGUUUGGGGGCAGAGGUUUACCCUGUGACCUCAGUUCUCUGAACGAUUUUAAAAGAGUUGACGAUCUUAAGUUUGUUCGGCUUUUUUCUUAUUAUAAGGGUAGGAGAGAUGAUGUCCAAGCUCCUUACGUGCCAGACCAGGUCAAAAUUAUUUUUAAACAUAAUAUUUAAAGACUUAAUUGUGUAAAAUUAUUAGCUGUAAAAGUUUCUUUCGCUCACUCAUAUUUCUUCACAUUUGCCAUCUUUCUGUUGUUCCCAUUAGCCACACAAGAAUACAGCAUGGCUGGCCCUAGAAGAGGGGUAGUUAACUGGUAACAUGGAACAAGGCCUUGAAGACUAAAUUAUCUGGAUGAGACAUGCACAGACUUUACAAGUUGUUUACCAAACUGUUUGAUUCCCCCAAAACAAUAGCCUUAAUUUAAAUUGACCAUAUGAACUUGCCUUCACCUACAAUCCUUCUAAAUAGCAAGGAAACAAUUCGAUAACAGGCUUAAUCAGCACAUUUACACUGUUAUUUGACAUUGGGAUCAGGUUAAUAUUUUUACUUGAACAAAGUAAAAGGAUAUUCCCAAUAACUUAAGUGUAGAACCAUUUGGUUUGCUUUUUUAUUUAGGAUACUGUAGAAAUCUAUCUUCUCCAAUAUAAGAUAGUAAGGAAAAAAAAAUUUAAACUAGAAACUAUAAACAAGAAAUUAAAAGUAAAAUUUUCAUAGUUAUUUUAGAAAUGUCUUUAACAAACCCCCUGGGGUGAGGGGGGGGGAUCUAAAUUACUGUUGAAUUUGUGCAGUGUGUUCUCCUGGCAUGAAGCUGUAAUUAACUGCUUUGAUUCCUGUUUUAAAAUAUAUAUAUACCUACACACAUAUGCACACACAAGUCAAGUUUGUCUAGGAGAGAUUCUUAUGACAAAGUCAAACAGAGGAGAUUUAAAAUUUUUCUCUUAAAUAUUUUAGGAUAUAGAUCCAUAAGGACAUUGCUAACUUUUAUGGCUGGUAAACUGUAGGUUUACAAAAUAUGGCAAAUCCCUAUCUUUUCACCUCCUUAGAAAGAACAGUUUCUAAUUCAAACACCACUUACUGGUAUCUAGUAAAGGGAUUUGCUCAUAUUCACGGAAUUAACAAAAUGGUUCUGAAUAAGUAUUAAGCUUAUAUGAAGCUGAAUACAGAAAACACAUCCUAUGAAAUUAGCUAGUCGUAUAUGAACAAUGUGAAAGAUUCAUAAGCAAAAUUUUAUUUUGCAAUAACUUUUUUUUUUGCAAUAACUAUUUUUGUGAUUAUGAAUAUAGAGCCUGAUCCAGGAAGAAAAUUAAUAGAUAGCUAUUCUUUUUACAAAUUAAUACACUAUUUACUGUAUAGUUGAUAAACAUAUACCUGCAGCACAGCAAAAGAAAAAGAAAACUUUACACUGUGGAUGAUUACAUGACAUCCAGUGAGCCUAAUGUAUCCGCUUCAUGUAGGUCGGUAUAUUUUCACUUGUC